rnacentral:rRNA from 1 species
CCUACGGGAGGCUGCAGUGAGGAAUAUUGGUCAAUGGACGGGAGUCUGAACCAGCCAUGUCGCGUGCAGGAAGACUGCUCUAUGGGUUGUAAACUUCUUUUAUACAAGAGUAAAAUGUUCUACGUGUGUGCAGUUGUAUGUACUAUACGAAUAAGGAUCGGCUAACUCCGUGCCAGCAGCCGCGGUAAUACGGAGGAUCCAAGCGUUAUCCGGAUUUAUUGGGUUUAAAGGGUGCGUAGGUGGAUUGUUAAGUUAGAUGUGAAAGUUUGCGGCUCAACCGUAAAAUUGCCGUUGAGACUGGCAGUCUAGAGUACAGUAGAGGUAGGCGGAAUGUGUGGUGUAGCGGUGAAAUGCUUAGAUAUCACACAGAACACCGAUUGCGAAGGCAGCUCACUAGACUGCAACUGACACUGAGGCUCGAAAGUGUGGGGAGCAAACAGGAUUAGAUACCCUGGUAGUC